rnacentral:rRNA from 1 species
UACGGAGGGUGCAAGCGUUAAUCGGAAUUACUGGGCGUAAAGCGCACGCAGGCGGUCUGUCAGGUCGGAUGUGAAAUCCCCGGGCUCAACCUGGGAACUGCACUCGAAACUGGCAGGCUAGAGUCUUGUAGAGGGGGGUAGAAUUCCAGGUGUAGCGGUGAAAUGCGUAGAGAUCUGGAGGAAUACCGGUGGCGAAGGCGGCCCCCUGGACAAAGACUGACGCUCAGGUGCGAAAGCGUGGGGAGCAAACAGG